rnacentral:rRNA from 1 species
UACAGAGGUGGCAAGCGUUGUUCGGAAUUACUGGGCGUAAAGGGCGCGUAGGCGGCCCGUCAAGUCCCGUGUGAAAGCCCCCGGCUCAACCGGGGAACGGCGCGGGAAACUAGCAGGCUUGAGUUCGGGAGAGGGAAGCGGAAUUCCGGGUGUAGCGGUGAAAUGCGUAGAUAUCUGGAGGAACACCGGUGGCGAAGGCGGCGUUCUGGACUGCAUCUGACACUGAAAGACGAAAGCCAGGGGAGCAAACGGG